UACACUCGCACGCGUUUUGGUGCUCGCGCGUGCCGCUCCGGCGCGCGCAGUUAAACGGGAAACAGGGAGCCUGCCUGCGCCGCAGUCGAGCCAACCUGUGCUGCCCCCGCAACGGUAAGCGAACGCGUCGCGCGUCAGCGCGAUGCAGCGCCGCUUCGCCGCAUGC
rnacentral:ncRNA from 1 species